rnacentral:rRNA from 1 species
UACGUAGGGGGCAAGCGUUGUCCGGAAUCAUUGGGCGUAAAGCGCGCGUAGGCGGCCCGAUAAGUCCGCUGUAAAAGUCCAGGGCUCAACCCUGGAAAGCCGGUGGAUACUGUCGGGCUAGAGUCCGGAAGAGGCGAGUGGAAUUCCUGGUGUAGCGGUGGAAUGCGCAGAUAUCAGGAAGAACACCCGUGGCGAAGGCGGCUCUCUGGAACGCAACUGACGCUGAGACGCGAAAGCGUGGGGAGCAAACAGG